GUUUACCUAGUAAGGAAUCAAAAACAUAAACUUUAUCUUCUUCCUUAAACUCUCUCUAUCAUAAUCAUCAUUCAACAUUUAUCAUCACCAUCAUCAUACGAAUCCAGCAUCUUCGAGAUGAUCUCUCUUUCCUUUCAGAUCGUCUUCUAGACCUGUGUUCACCAAUCUUCGGAUCCUCGGUUUAUAACUUACAGAUUGCGUCUUCUGCAUUGUGGGGUUUAUGCAUAACCUAACCAACAUCUUAGUUUCUUUUGCUUUUCUACGGUCUCUGCUUUGUGACCCAAACCCUUAGUUCGCCAGCAAACUCCAAAGCUGCAAGGUUGUUCAUUAAGAACAAGCAAGAAUAUAACAGGAGAGUAAUGGAGAUUGUAGAGCAGAGCUAUGUAUAAUAAUCAUAUGAUUCAGUUUUAUUGACUAUUGAAUUAAAUGGGAUUUAUAAGUGUUUUAAAAUGAGAAAUAUAUUUGAUAACUAUGAAUAGACAAACUUGAACAGAAAGACAUCUCAAAUGAAGAGAGACGGGUAGAAAAAACAUAACACAAUUACAAAACCAAGCAAAUAAAAUAUUUGUUCUUUCAAACCGAACUUGCAAACGCGUUUCAAGUUUCAACUAUGUACCUUGAACAAGCAUUCAAACCAAAA